UACGUAGGGUGCGAGCGUUAAUCGGAAUUACUGGGCGUAAAGCGUGCGUAGGCGGUUCGCUGUGUCCGAUGUGAAAGCCCCGGGCUUAACCUGGGAAUGGCAUUGGAAACUGGCGGGCUUGAGUGUGGCAGAGGGGGGUGGAAUUCCGCGUGUAGCAGUGAAAUGCGCAGAUAUCAGGAGGAACACCGAUGGCGAAGGCAGGUCUCUGGGCCAUAACUGACGCUGAGAAGCGAAAGCAUGGGGAGCGAACAGG
rnacentral:rRNA from 1 species